UGGUAUGUAGCUCAGUUGGUAGAGCGCCAAGCUGUUAACUUGGAUGUCGGGAGUUCGAGACUCUCCAUACCAGCCA
rnacentral:tRNA from 1 species